CAGGUUGCAACAUGCAAGAAGCUGCACAAUGUGCCGUAUCCAUUUUAGAUAUAACCCAUUCCACUGAUGUGUCAUUUAUAUGUCAAACAAUCCGAAGUGGUAUCGAAUGUUUUGCGAAUGUAGGAUGUUUAGCAUUGGUACAGCUAUACGAGACACGUGUUAAUCAGCUGGCUGAUAUGUGCAUGCAAUACACCGGGAGCGAUAUAUCCAUAUGAACGGAAGCCAUGACGAGAACCCAAGUACCACAGUCAACCCUCGAUUAAUAAAACAAUAUUACAUCUAAAUAAUCUGUUGUAAUCUGUGUUCUUGAAUAAUAAAAUACUAAGC